rnacentral:misc_RNA from 1 species
CCCCCCCUCUUUUUUUUUUUAAGUUGCAACUGGUCAAGUUUUGAAGUUUUUUUUUUAUGAGCAAAAGAUGGUGGCUUCCAUUUUUCUGUAUUGCAAUAACUUGAAGUUAAGUCUUGCAUUUGAUUGCUUGUUUCCUGUAAACCAAAAUGAUCUAUUUUGUUGAAGUGCUGAAAUGGUUUAUAAAUAUGUAAAGAGGGUUAAUGAAGUGGGAUAAUCUCUAAAAAUGAAGAAUUU